GUUUACUUGCAAGAGAAAAAUCCCUCCAACAAGCUCAAAUAAAAUAAAAUAAAAUAAAAAAAACAAUAGCUCCCUCAUGAGCCCCUAAGAUACAAUAUGAAAGUUAUGUGUAUAAGUCAGUGUGUGUUUUAGUAUCAUCCUCAGGAAAUAUGGGUUUAAAAUACAGUUUUCUGCUUUGUUCCAUUCACACUUAUAGCCUUCAAACAUUUUUUUUUUUUUUUUUACCAGGAUACACAUAUUUGCAUUUACCAUGACGUAACAAUGGAAUUGGUGCAGUUGUGUUUCAAAUGCUAGUGUGUUAGUACUAAAUAAUGCGUUUUGUAAACUAGAGGUGUGCAUCGGCAUCAGAAUCCUGUGGGGACCAAAAAAAAGUGAUGGAAAUGGGCAUUUUUUACUUUCAUGUUUAUAGUUUGUGACACAGAACCAUCUAAAUCCAUGAGAAAAUGCAUAAUUCACAAGCGGGUACAAACAUUAAAAAUAAUAACUAGGGGAGUACGCAGGAUUGGUCAGAAUACCUUUAGAAGUAGGUGGGAGAAAAGACACCUCUACUGUAAAAUUACUGCACCAUCUGAUUAAGAAUUUUGUCCUCAUCACGAAUGACCAACAGCACCUUCAUUAUUGAAAAUAAUUUUCAUCAUUCUUCUCGUGUUCAUUUCAUUUGAUUCUUUUGUCACUUUACUGUGUUAACAUUUUAAAUCAGCUGCCUAGAUCUCAAACGUCAACCCUGUAAUGUUAGCAGACAUCUGAUUUAGGUCUCCUGGAUAAUGGUUUGUGGAAAAGUUACAGUCAAAAGUUGUUGUUGUUGUUUUUUUUAAUGAUGUUCCAAUAAUGACAUUGAGAGUACACUCAGAUAACAUGUAAACAGUGUUUAGGUCUUAAUUACUGUAAAUCUAUAUAUAUUGGGAAGAUAGUGUACUCUUGAAACAUUUUCAUGGUGUUGGAAAGGAUUUCCUUAGUACUGUUUACUGGGCCUUACAAAAUAAUGCUCUUAUUACAUGAGAAAAUCAUAAUGAAUCAAUAUAGCAUGAGUAAGAGUGCUGUUCUUCUGAAUAAUGGCUGUAGGCAUGAAGCCACCAGUAAUCAGAGCUGUGCUGAUAUUCAGUAAAACAGCAUGAUUACGAGUGUGAUGUUGCUUUUAUACAACAGUUCUAUAAACAAGAAAUGAAUAUCCAGUACAUAACAUUUCAGACACAAUAUGGCCAAAUAUUUGUUUAUUUUUGUUCUGACAACAAAAAUAGUUCCAGAAGAAGCCACAGAUUGAUAGUGUUGAGUGUUGUCAUGUCAACGCACAAACUGACUGACAGCCCAUACUGUCAUAACAAACUACUGCUAGAAUUGAAAUUUUAUGUAGUGAAUACAGACAAGAGGAGUGAUACAAACAGUGGGUGUUUUUUUUUUAUGUGAUUUGAUUCUUUUUCUCUUCAUUCUGUGUAUUUUAAUCCUAGACCCUGAUGGAAGGUACAUGUUGCCUAAGACCACCUUCCUCAAGCUUCAUCAUGACUCUGGGCUUCAAGCAGAAAUGGGAUGGGAACUUCUUGAACAAAUUGCUCCACAGGAACUGUUCCACAUUUACAGGUUGGAUCGACCGUACUCUCACUAGUUUCAUUUGAAAGUGGUCACGGGGAAUCUGGAGCCUAUCCCAGGGAGCAUCGGGCACAAGCUUUCAGAAAGUAUGCAGCAGGAGAUGCUGAGAAAGACAUGACGUAAUGAACAGACUGGGAAUGUGGAGCUGCCUUUCCAGCAUGUUAUUGGGUCAGCUGAAAUGGCUCCAAGGGUGUCGCAGUGCCGCAGAGCUGUCAGCUCAGCACC